UUGGAGGGCAAGUCUGGUGCCAGCAGCCGCGGUAAUUCCAGCUCCAAUAGCGUAUAUUAAAGUUGUUGCAGUUAAAAAGCUCGUAGUUGAAUUUCGGGAUUAGUUAGUACGUUGGUCGUGCCUUCGGUACGUACUGGUGUUACUGAUUCCUACCUUCUGACGAACCACCAUGUCAUUAAUUUGGUGUGGCGGGGAAUCAGGACUGUUACUUUGAAAAAAUUAGAGUGUUUAAAGCAGGCUCGCGCUUGAAUACAUUAGCAUGGAAUAAUGAAAUAGGACGUUGAUCCUAUUUUGUUGGUUUCUAGGAUUGACGUAAUGGUUAAUAGGGAUAGUUGGGGGCAUUAGUAUUCAAUUGUCAGAGGUGAAAUUCUUGGAUUUAUUGAAGACUAACUACUGCGAAAGCAUUUGCCAAGGAUGUUUUCAUUAAUCAAGAACGAAAGUUAGGGGAUCGAAGACGAUCAGAUACCGUCCUAGUCUUAACCGUAAACUAUGCCGACUAGGGAUCGGAUGAUGUUAUUUUUAAUGACUCAUUCGGCGCCUUACGGGAAAC
rnacentral:rRNA from 1 species